GGGUUGUGAGGUUAAGCGACUAAGCGUACACGGUGGAUGCCCUGGCAGUCAGAGGCGAUGAAGGACGUGCUAAUCUGCGAAAAGCGUCGGUAAGGUGAUAUGAACCGUUAUAACCGGCGAUGUCCGAAUGGGGAAACCCAGUGCAAUUCGUUGCACUAUCGUUAACUGAAUACAUAGGUUAACGAGGCGAACCGGGGGAACUGAAACAUCUAAGUACCCCGAGGAAAAGAAAUCAACCGAGAUUCCCCCAGUAGCGGCGAGCGAACGGGGAGCAGCCCAGAGUCUGAAUCAGCUUGUGUGUUAGUGGAACGGUCUGGAAAGUCCGACGGUACAGGGUGAUAGUCCCGUACACCAAAAUGCACAGGCUGUGAACUCGAAGAGUAGGGCGGGACACGUGGUAUCCUGUCUGAAUAUGGGGGGACCAUCCUCCAAGGCUAAAUACUCCUGACUGACCGAUAGUGAACCAGUACCGUGAGGGAAAGGCGAAAAGAACCCCGGCGAGGGGAGUGAAAAAGAACCUGAAACCGUGUACGUACAAGCAGUGGGAGCACCUUCGGGUGUGACUGCGUACCUUUUGUAUAAUGGGUCAGCGACUUAUAUUCUGUAGCAAGGUUAACCGUAUAGGGGAGCCGCAGGGAAACCGAGUCUUAACUGGGCGUUAAGUUGCAGGGUAUAGACCCGAAACCCGGUGAUCUAGCCAUGGGCAGGUUGAAGGUUGGGUAACACUAACUGGAGGACCGAACCGACUAAUGUUGAAAAAUUAGCGGAUGACUUGUGGCUGGGGGUGAAAGGCCAAUCAAACCGGGAGAUAGCUGGUUCUCCCCGAAAGCUAUUUAGGUAGCGCCUCGUGAAUUCAUCUUCGGGGGUAGAGCACUGUUUCGGCUAGGGGGUCAUCCCGACUUACCAACCCGAUGCAAACUACGAAUACCGAAGAAUGUUAUCACGGGAGACACACGGCGGGUGCUAACGUCCGUCGUGAAGAGGGAAACAACCCAGACCGCCAGCUAAGGUCCCAAAGUCAUGGUUAAGUGGGAAACGAUGUGGGAAGGCACAGACAGCCAGGAUGUUGGCUUAGAAGCAGCCAUCAUUUAAAGAAAGCGUAAUAGCUCACUGGUCGAGUCGGCCUGCGCGGAAGAUGUAACGGGGCUAAACCAUGCACCGAAGCUGCGGCAGCGACACUAUGUGUUGUUGGGUAGGGGAGCGUUCUGUAAGCCUGCGAAGGUGACCUGUGAGGGUUGCUGGAGGUAUCAGAAGUGCGAAUGCUGACAUAAGUAACGAUAAAGCGGGUGAAAAGCCCGCUCGCCGGAAGACCAAGGGUUCCUGUCCAACGUUAAUCGGGGCAGGGUGAGUCGACCCCUAAGGCGAGGCCGAAAGGCGUAGUCGAUGGGAAACAGGUUAAUAUUCCUGUACUUGGUGUUACUGCGAAGGGGGGACGGAGAAGGCUAUGUUAGCCGGGCGACGGUUGUCCCGGUUUAAGCAUGUAGGCUGGUUGUCCAGGCAAAUCCGGAUAAUCAAGGCUGAGGUGUGAUGACGAGGCACUACGGUGCUGAAGUAACAAAUGCCCUGCUUCCAGGAAAAGCCUCUAAGCAUCAGGUAACAUUAAAUCGUACCCCAAACCGACACAGGUGGUCAGGUAGAGAAUACCAAGGCGCUUGAGAGAACUCGGGUGAAGGAACUAGGCAAAAUGGUGCCGUAACUUCGGGAGAAGGCACGCUGGUGUGUAGGUGAAGCCCCUGCGGGUGGAGCUGAGACCAGUCGAAGAUACCAGCUGGCUGCAACUGUUUAUUAAAAACACAGCACUGUGCAAACACGAAAGUGGACGUAUACGGUGUGACGCCUGCCCGGUGCCGGAAGGUUAAUUGAUGGGGUUAUCCGUAAGGAGAAGCUCUUGAUCGAAGCCCCGGUAAACGGCGGCCGUAACUAUAACGGUCCUAAGGUAGCGAAAUUCCUUGUCGGGUAAGUUCCGACCUGCACGAAUGGCGUAAUGAUGGCCAGGCUGUCUCCACCCGAGACUCAGUGAAAUUGAACUCGCUGUGAAGAUGCAGUGUACCCGCGGCAAGACGGAAAGACCCCGUGAACCUUUACUAUAGCUUGACACUGAACAUUGAGCCUUGAUGUGUAGGAUAGGUGGGAGGCUUUGAAGCGUGGACGCCAGUCUGCGUGGAGCCAACCUUGAAAUACCACCCUUUAAUGUUUGAUGUUCUAACGUUGGCCCCUUACCGGGGUUGCGGACAGUGUCUGGUGGGUAGUUUGACUGGGGCGGUCUCCUCCCAAAGCGUAACGGAGGAGCACGAAGGUUAGCUAAUCCUGGUCGGACAUCAGGAGGUUAGUGCAAUGGCAUAAGCUAGCUUGACUGCGAGCGUGACGGCGCGAGCAGGUGCGAAAGCAGGUCAUAGUGAUCCGGUGGUUCUGAAUGGAAGGGCCAUCGCUCAACGGAUAAAAGGUACUCCGGGGAUAACAGGCUGAUACCGCCCAAGAGUUCAUAUCGACGGCGGUGUUUGGCACCUCGAUGUCGGCUCAUCACAUCCUGGGGCUGAAGUAGGUCCCAAGGGUAUGGCUGUUCGCCAUUUAAAGUGGUACGCGAGCUGGGUUUAGAACGUCGUGAGACAGUUCGGUCCCUAUCUGCCGUGGGCGCUGGAGAAUUGAGGGGGGCUGCUCCUAGUACGAGAGGACCGGAGUGGACGCAUCACUGGUGUUCGGGUUGUCAUGCCAAUGGCACUGCCCGGUAGCUAAAUGCGGAAGAGAUAAGUGCUGAAAGCAUCUAAGCACGAAACUUGCCCCGAGAUGAGUUCUCCCUGAGACUUUAAGUCUCCUGAAGGAACGUUAAAGACGAUGACGUUGAUAGGCCGGGUGUGUAAGCGCAGCGAUGCGUUGAGCUAACCGGUACUAAUGAACCGUGAGGCUUAACCUUACAACGCCGAAG
rnacentral:rRNA from 1 species